UUUAUUAAAGUUAUAAAAAAAAACUUUAUAUUGAUCUCUUUCUCUAUAUUACUGUAUUUUGUUCCAUGGCUCAUUUGAAAAUUACUAUUUUAAUUUCUCGGCUCUUUUAUAAAUUUAGAUAAUAUGCAAUAUCUGUUUAUAUACAUACUAGAUGAAAAGUAAUCAAUAAAGACCGGAAGGGGUCACCAUAAUAUACAUAUAUCUGCUCUCUAUAAAAUUCAUAAAUUUAUAUUAAUUUGUAUUUUUAUAUACAUAUAUAUAUAUAUAAAUACUCGUAUGUAAUUGGAUUAAUAAUUGUUGGCAAAUCUUAUCAGAAUUACUUAAUGCAAGGCAUUUACAAUGCAAAUUCAUAUGAUUAAGCUGUUAACGCAGCGUUGACUGCCGUUAAAAGCAAUUCACUGCACAAAUACCAUUUUUUUACAAUAUGUUUCGAAGGGAAAAACUCGGGCGACUACACGUCAACUUUUUGACAAAGUCAUUAUGGUUGCAUAACCAUGUGAAUAUAUACUAUAUACUUCACAUACAUAUAUGUUGAAGAAGAGUAAUUCAUAAAUCAAAUUUUGCUGACUGUCAAAAUGGAUAUAAUUUUUUGAUUAAAUCACCAUAACAUCGAAACACAUUUAAGGGUAUUCAUACAUGAAUAUACACACAUUAGCACAUACAUAUAUACAUGUUAAUACCAUAUGUACACAUCUUAUACUUUUAGUGCGGCAUUUUGGUGCUUCUUUGGCAAAUUCGCUACACCUCGCUGAAGAAAAAGUUACAAAACACCAAAAAAGGGGAAAAAAAGCAUGACUUCAACACAGCGUCACAUACAUUUAGCCCAAACUUUGAGUUAACAAAAGGCGCUGUAAUCGCCUUUUUCAGUUGCAUAACGGCCAACGAAACGAAAAGCUUCACUCUACACUAAUUUUACUGAGUUGGAUUUUACGCUAUAAAUAAAAACGAUUUUAUGUGCAUUAGUGUGUUUGUGUACGCAGCAACGUUUUAUAGGCUUCAGGUAAUCUUACUACCGCGAAAACAGAUUAACAGACGCAUGCGAGCUUUUUUUGUGGGUACAACAAUCAACAAAUUAAAGCGAAAGAGGUGGGCACUGACAAAAAUAUAGCGCUGUAAAAACCCAAAAGUACGAGAAAUGCGAUUUAACUACAUUUUAUUGAUACUCUUAAUGUGUUUCUACCCAAAACGAUCCACCAUAAUACACAAAAGUAUUAUACAACAUUUACUUUUAGCCCUUUCUGGGUAUCCCGCGAAGAGUUAAUGCCCAAAAAUACGGUAACGGUGGCGAUGCGAAGUGACUGGCGCUGAGACUACAACAACAAUAACCACAUAAGUGUGCAGCUACAAUAAUACAUACAAGUACAUAUAUAUGUAGCAAGUCGACUGAGAUGUUCAUUGUUGUUUUGACAGUGAAAAUUUCCGCCAAACAUUUUGUUAAGAAAUCGGUUACAAUUUUACUGGAAUGUACGAAUGAAGCGGAUGUUGUGACUUUUGUGUGUUCGCUUAAACACACAUAUACUUACAAAUAUACGGGCGUAUGAACACAUAUGUAUGUAUAUAUAUAUGAAUAUGUAUGUGCGCAGAAGUGAGUCGCACAUAAAAUACCUUGUCAUUUUGGUGGUAUGGGUGUGCAUGAAUUGUGGAUGGCGUUACAAAUUUCGGUUUAAAUGUCGGAAUGUUAAAAUCGAAAGUUGUUUAGAGCGAAAGAGCGCUUCAAAGAUAAUUGAAAAAACAAAGCAACGAAAGAAGCAAAUUUAUGAGAAAAAAACCGAAAUAAUGGAAGCUGUGAGUUCCAUGGUGCUUUGGUGUGAGUUUCGAAAGUCAAAUUCGGUAGAACUCGUUACAUAAGCAUACGAAACCAAUAAGUACACAAGCUUUUGAAUAAAUUUCCAAUGCAGAUUUGAGGUGGCGUGUUCGAUCUAAACUCUAAAAAUCAUAUCAGUGUGGUCGUCCUAACGGAAACAUAGAAACGUUCGUUUACUUUUUCUAUGAAUCCACAGUGAGAAGUAAAUUCUUUGUUAUCCCCUGAGGUAUAUUCAGUUUUUCACGAAGUUUGUAACAAAGAAACGUUGGAGACUCUAUAAUAAAUAUAUAUAAAUGAUCAGCGCGACAAACGUCAAGAAGCUGCUCAUUUGUCGGAACCGGCGAUACCGAACCAUUAUAGAAUAUUGCUGUCAUACAAACUGAACGAUCAAAAUCAAGUUCUUGUAUGGAAAGGUUUUUAUUUGACAAGAUAUCUUAACAGAACUUGGCAUGGAGUAUUAGCCAAGGCAACGGUAAAAUUUUCGAACAAAUUGUUCAGAUCGGAGCACUAUAGCAUAUAGCUGCUAUUAUAAACUUACCGAUAAAAAUCAAGUUCUUGUAGGGUAACAUUUUUAUUUGUAAAGGGUAUUAUAGCUUCCGUUAACGUGUUUUUUUUUUUUGUUUAAUUGAAAAUACCAAAAACUCGUAAAUUUAAUAUCAUAAAUGGAGAAAAGGCCUAUAAUUUUUUUUUUUUUGCUUUUAUAUUGUUUACUUUAGAAUCCAUUCGCACACAGUCAAUAAUGAAAAAUGACUUUUGUAGUAGUGCUGAAAGGCAUCGGAAGAACUAUUUUUUCAAUUAUCUCUGGACUUUCUUGAUUUGAAAAACAUUAUUUGGACUCAUUUAUCGAUUCUCACAUUUUAACGAUGGAGAGGAGGAACGCGUUGACUAUAAAAAAUACUAAAACAACAACAACAAGUGCAAAAGCACAGAUACCAACCAUAGAGCACUGCGGCAAAUAACUGAUCGGGCUCUUAUACCAUCAUAAAUCAUUGAACAUUUCGAAAGAAGACAGAAAAUGUCUUAAAUGUAUGAAUUUCUCAAUUGCCGCUUGCGUGCCUAAAUAAUAAUUAACAAAAUAAGGACAAAAAUACAUACAUACAAGUAUACACGAGUACAUGCAUACACACAUGUACGAGCUUGUAAAUGUAUGAAAUCACAAAUAAAAUACUGAAAGAGUCUGAGCUGGACUUGUGAUUAAUAAAGCGCGAAAAAUAUCUGCAGAAGAAAGUCAAAACUUGUAAAAAUUAGAGCAUAACUGCACUGUGGCGCUAAGCAACUCAACGAAUAAACGAAUGGCAAAACCGGCAAGUAAUCUAUGAAAAAAUGUGAAUCUGUGCAUGCGUUUGUCUGUAUAUAUACAAUAAAAUGGUAUUUUGUGUAUAAAUACAUCUGAGACAUGAAAAAUAAAAUGAAACUUAAUAAAAAGUUAAUAAAAUAAAAUAAACAAAUGUUGGCUUGAGCGUAAUUGUAAAUUUUUUUUGUAUUUGUUUGUUACCAAUUAGAAUAAUAAUUCUCUAUAAAUCUAUUUUCGUGUCUACUGAAUUACGGAUGAAAUUUUUGCAUGUUUAUAGAUAAAUAUUGAGUAUUUUUAUUUGAAGUGCUUAUGCUUAUUUGCAUACAAGCAAACGCACAUACAAAUGUACAUAUAUGAUAAUAUAUCACAGAACAAUCUCAUUUUGCCGCUUCUGCUAUCUGCCGUUAUUCUUGGCUAUUUUACGGAGUUCAAACAUAUAGAAAAACAAGAAAAAACGUUAACUCCGGCUGUACCAAAGAUAUAAUACCCUGCUCAGGUGCAUUUUUUAUAGCAACUGUAUUAACUAAAUCUGAAAAUGUAACCGGCCAACGGAUCGCAUCCAAUGAAAAAAUGUUUACAAAUUCCUUCUACUAGGCAUGCUGUUUGAUAUAAAUAACGCUCAAGUCGAUUUAAGGUCCCUUAAUAAGGAAAAAAAUCUUUUAUGAAGAUCUCUAUCUCGAUCGAUAUCUUGUAAAAUAAAAAUAUUUUCCAUACAAGAUCUAGUUUUUAAUCGUUCAAUUUGUAGGCAGCUAUGUAUAUCCAAUAGUGGCACGAUAUCAUCAGUAUAUUGUGCAAUAUUUAAAAUCGAUAUCUCAAAAAUUGAGGGACUAGUUUGCGUAUAUACAGACAGACGGUCGGACAGACAGGCGGACUUAGCUAAAUCGACUCAGUUCGUUAUGCUGAUAAUUUAUAUAUAUAUACUUUAUCAGUUCUCCGAUGUUUUCUUCUGGGUGUUUCAAAAUACUAAAUUCCUGUUCUGGCUAUAAUAAACUUAGAUGCAUACUAACAUUGUGAAACACGUCCCUAAUCUCGGUUCGUCAAUAGAGUAUAACACACUCUAAUGUACAUAGUUACAUGGCUAAGAACUGUACAUCUGUAUAUACAAAAAGCAUGUAUAUAGGAUUGGUCGCUUGAACGGAGAGAUGAACGCAUUUUGGUCCACCGGUACUGAUUCCAAUAUCAAUUGCGCUGCUAGAACCAUCUAUAAGACUAUUUUGGCUUAUUAUCUUUAGCUUUUGUAAUCUACGUUAUUGAUUUACAUUUCUCAUUUACUUGUGUGAGACAUUUUAUUGAAUCUAAUAAAGUUCUGCGCAAAAAAUAGUUUCGUGUUUUAAUCCGGUAGCCCAAGUUUGAUUGCGCAUAGAUAAGUGACUUAAAAGGCUUCGUAGAAAUUUUUAAUUUAUCACACAGUAGGAAACUACGCUGAUAAUUUUUAUUGAUUUGUUUUUAAGUACUAUCCAUUCACUUA